CGCGGCACUUUAACGUCAUCCGUCUGUCAAUUCUAGCGGGGCCGCAAGCAGGAAGUCGAACAGCCUUCUUUCUCAAUACGGAUUACCAUGAGGUGGGACUGACGAAGCUCCUCUUUCACGGGUUUCUUUACUGUUUUCAGAUUUUCCAUGCUGAUAUCCGUGCAGCAGAGUCGAAGCAGACCUGUCAGAAAACAUCUCUAAGGUGCUAUGAAUCUCAUAACUAGAUACACAUCAUAAGAUAACUAGAGCUUACGGCUCUGUUUGGAUCCAGCCUCACUUGUGAAGACUUCAGAUGACGUAAACACUCACAAAGACAUUAUAUGAUGGCAUCUACAGAUGGACAUACACAACUGCCAAAUGUAACAUAUUGUAAUUACUGCACCAAAGCGCAACCCUACAGAUUUUCAACCCACUUAAUAUUGUUACAAACACAAUAUAUGUUUAUAUUUGAAAAAAAUAUUCUUUAGCUAAUUUUACUGAUUUAUUAUUUGUCCACAAUACUCUGCCAAAAUGAUGUUUUGCAUCAUCCAAAUAUUGUUAAUGUACAUAUUACAGACAUUGUAACAACACAAAGUGGGUUGAAAAAGUUUCUAAGUGCAGUAACUACGCAAACACUAAAAUCGAGAAAAAAGUUCUUAAAGUGUUUUACACCAGCCAGUCAAACUUGUUACUGCAAUUUUGGCAAACACAUUUCUCUGAUGGGACAAAAUUAAACCAGGAGACUUUGUCACAAGACAACAGAUCUCACAAAGCCCAUUUCAACCUUUACCUCAAUUUUGACCAAAUGCAUAGUUACUGCACUUUGGCUUUGUUGGGCAGUGUAGUAGUAUUAUAGUAAUGCUGGAGUGAAAGCAUGGUAACCAUAUAUUUUUAAAUCAUGGUAAAGUUUGUGGUUACUUAAAUGUAGUACUAUAAACCUAUGCUGUUGUAAGAGAAUGUUUAUUCUUUAUUAUUGUUGUGAAACCAUGGUUGAUUUUAUAUUUAUCAUGUGUUACUGCAAAUGAUGGUAAAAUCAUGGAUAACUUUGCAUGGGUACAGAAAGGUGUAAACUGGUUGUUUUUAUUUGGAAGUCAUGUUGGUUUUAAUGCAUCUGAUAAAUGUAUAU